UACGUAGGGGGCAAGCGUUAUCCGGAUUUACUGGGUGUAAAGGGAGCGUAGACGGCAGCACAAGUCUGGAGUGAAAUCCCAUGGCUUAACCAUGGAACUGCUCUGGAAACUGUGGAGCUUGAGUGCGGGAGGGGCAGGCGGAAUUCCUAGUGUAGCGGUGAAAUGCGUAGAUAUUAGGAGGAACACCAGAGGCGAAGGCGACUCACUGGACUGUAACUGACGCUGAGGCUCGAAAGCGUGGGGAGCAAACAGG
rnacentral:rRNA from 1 species